rnacentral:lncRNA from 1 species
AUCACCAUGAUGACUUGUAAAUAACUCAUUGUGCUUUGGUGCCGAAUUAUCUGAAUUUUUAAUUCAGUGACUGAAAGAUUUUUGGAUACAGUCAAGUACUUGUUAAGUCGAUGUGUGAGUCAAGAUGGGAUUGACCCCUCCGGAUUCAAGAGUUAAUGCAUCACUGUAUUUUAGUUUAGUAAAAUUUGGAUCCGGAUAAUCCAUAUGAUGGAUUCAAAAGAUUGAAAUAUAAUGUGGAUGACUAUUCCAGGAUUGACAGUUAAACCUUAGGUUACCUUGAGCAUUAGGGUUAAAGGGAUGAAUUAUAUAGUAAUCAUACACUAGC